rnacentral:rRNA from 1 species
UUUAUAGGUGGUCUGCUAAGUCAGACGUGAAAUCCCUCAGCUUAACUGGGGAACUGCGUCUGAGACUGGUGGACUUGGGGGCAGGAGAGGAACGCGGAAUUCCAGGUGUAGCGGUGAAAUGCGUAGAUAUCUGGAGGAACACCGGUGGCGAAGGCGGCGUUCUGGACUGUUUCUGACACUGAUAAACGAAAGCCAGGGGAAGGCAAACG